AAAGGAAUUGACGGGAGCCCGCACAAGCAGUGGAGUAUGUGGUUUAAUUCGAUGCAACGCGAAGAACCUUACCAGAGCUUGACAUCCAGGGAAGUCGGCGUAACGGCUGAUGUGCUCCUUCGGGAGAACCCUGAGACAGGUGGUGCAUGGUUGUCGUCAGCUCGUGUCGUGAGAUGUUGGGUUAAGUCCCGCAACGAGCGCAACCCUUACGGUUAGUUGCUACGCAAGAGCACUCUAGCCGGACUGCCGUUGACAAAACGGAGGAAGGCGGGGACGACGUCAAAUCAUCAUGCCCCUUACGCCCUGGGCUACACACGUACUACAAUGGCGCAUAACAACGGGAAGCGAGGCCGCGAGGCGGAGCAAAACCCCAAAAUGCGUCCCAGUUCAGAUUGCAGGCUGCAAUUCGCCUGUAUGAAGUUGGAAUUGCUAGUAAUCGCGGAUCAGCAUGCCGCGGUGAAUACGUUCCCGGGCUUUGUACACACCGCCCGU
rnacentral:rRNA from 1 species